GAAGUGAGGGCGGGGAGAGCCCGCGCGCGCGCUCGCCGAAGGCUUGGGGGAAGAGGGGGAUGGGAACGCGCGGGAAAAGAAUGCAGUCCUGAGGGCACCGCGCCCAGGAGUUAAGGGCUAAAUGAGAGUCCCAACCACGGUGAAGGAGAGCUAGUGGCCCGCCAUCCCCUUCCAGAGUCCCAGAAGAAAAGGCGGUGGGCUCCCUCCGUUCCCUCUUCCCGGGCCCCAGCCGUUCUCCACAAACCGGGAUCUAUCUGCUCUCAUCCUCGGCCCUCGCCUUGCUCUUCGCCCUCCAAAUGGACAGCGGUGGCGCCAGCCCUCUCUAGCUAGAGGCCCUCCGUGCUCCCCCGGGCUCGCUUCUCCCCGUUUUCCCGAGAGAGGCCGGCGGUCCACUCACCAUGGUGGCUACGGGUCAGCAGGCGCAGGCAACAGGAGUAGACACCGGGUCCCGGUUACCGUUCUCGACAAGCUAAGAGUCGAGGGGCUUCCCUGGUGGCGCAGUGGUUAAGAAUCCGCCUGCCAAUGCAGGGGACAUGGGUUCAAGCCCUGGUCCAGAAAGAUCCCACAUGCCGCAGAGCGACUAAGCCCGUGCGCCACAACUACUGAGCCUGUGCUCUGGAGACUGCGAUCCACAACUACUGAAGCCUGCGCGCCUAGAGCCCGUGCUCCGCAACAAGAGAAGCCACUGCAAUGAAAAACCCGCAUACCACAAUGAAGAGUAGCCCCCGCUGGCCGCAACUAGAGAAAGCCCGCGCACAGCAAGGAAGACCCAACGCAGCCAAAAAUAAAUAAAAUAAAAAUAAAAAAUAAAUAAAUUUUUAAAAAACCAACUCUAUAUCUUACCAAGGUCUUAAGCAUUGGAGAUCAUCUUGAAGUUUGAGCUAACGUCACUCUCUUGGAAUGUGGACAUGAUGACUGGAGUUCUAGCAACCAUCUAUGAUAAUAAAGUGAUCUUAAGCCAUUGCUAAGGAUGGAGGAAGAUGGACUCUAGAUCCCUGAUGAUACUGUGGAGCUACCACAUAAACCGUGGAUUGCCUACCUCUGGACUUCUCAUUAUGGGAGAAAAUAAAACAAUUUGUU